rnacentral:tRNA from 1 species
AAGCAAGAAACCAACAGUAUUAUGGUUUCGACCCAUAACAAGGUGUUCCACUCACACCCUUGCUUU